rnacentral:rRNA from 1 species
UACGUAGGGAGCAAGCGUUGUCCGGAUUUACUGGGUGUAAAGGGUGCGUAGGCGGCUUUGCAAGUCAGAAGUGAAAUCCAUGGGCUUAACCCAUGAACUGCUUUUGAAACUGUAGGGCUUGAGUGAAGUAGAGGUAGGCGGAAUUCCCGGUGUAGCGGUGAAAUGCGUAGAGACCGGGAGGAACACCAGUGGCGAAGGCGGCCUACUGGGCUUUAACUGACGCUGAAGCACGAAAGCGUGGGUAGCAAACAGG